GGAUGACUGUAGGAGUGGCUGGCAGGGAGGCAGACUCAUGGAGGGACAAGCUCUGUAACACAAAGACCAAGAGUAUUGACAGCAGCGUCUCCGUCCUUGGUCAGCUCCAGCUCUCCAACACUCUCCGCUUGUUCGUCUCUCGGGGUGCUUGACAGCGGGGCUGACGUCGGUCGCGGGGUGGCAAACUGGCGGAAGUACGGCACUGGCUCCUGCAUGACCUUCUUCACUGCCUGGAUGAAGUACGUGUCGUCCAGGAGGCCUCUGUGAAGGGUCAAAGUCACACAGCUUGUGUUUUGUUCUUACAAUUUGGAAACUAUAAGUUAUUUACUUUCACAAAUCGGAAAAAUGUUAAUAAUUCACCAAAUUGAGAUAAUAACAAGAACAAUAAAAACAACAACAGGAACAUUUGAGUCCAAAAGCCUAAGAGAAGAUCCUUCUUAUCUUCAAUAUGACCUUCAGCUCAGCAGACGGUAGUUUUUCAGGGAGGACAACGAAAAGGACAGGUUACCUGAAGAAGGCAGCCACCCUAGUGAGAAGCACUUUUCUCAAGGUUCAUGGACAGGUGCAACAGUUCCCGAGGACACUGGCCACAAUGUUGGACUCGGCCACAGAGCAGUCAAUGUGGGUCGGGGCUGCGGACAUCUCGGGCUGGUUCUUGUUGGACUGGCGGUCACUCAGCGUGCGGUCAACGUAGAAGUGGCAAUACUCCUCAGGGAAGUUAGUCUGUAGAAAUGCCACACAUUGAUAUAAUAUAAAUUUAGAAACAU